AGUGAACGCUGGCGGUAGGCCUAACACAUGCAAGUCGAACGGCAGCACAGGAGAGCUUGCUCUCUGGGUGGCGAGUGGCGGACGUGUGAGGAAUACAUCGGAAUCUGCCCAGUCGUGGGGGAUAACUUAGGGAAACUUACGCUAAUACCGCAUACGACCUUCGGGUGAAAGAGGGGGAUCGCAAGACCUCUCGCGAUUGGAUGAGCCGAUGUCGGAUUAGCUAGUUGGCGGGGUAAUGGCCCACCAAGGCGACGAUCCGUAGCUGGUCUGAGAGGAUGAUCAGCCACACUGGAACUGAGACACGGUCCAGACUCCUACGGGAGGCAGCAGUGGGGAAUAUUGGACAAUGGGCGCAAGCCUGAUCCAGCCAUACCGCGUGGGUGAAGAAGGCCUUCGGGUUGUAAAGCCCUUUUGUUGGGAAAGAAAUCUUUCAGGCUAAUACCCUGGGAGGAUGACGGUACCCAAAGAAUAAGCACCGGCUAACUUCGUG
rnacentral:rRNA from 1 species